GACCUUUCUGAUAUGGCUUACUUAGUUUUAACCUUUCCUUCUCCUUUAAUAUGUUUGCCUUGUUAUAUGUCAGGUAAUAAGUCUUUUGAUUCUAUAUAACCAAUCCCAAUUAUUAGGCCUUAUAUGAUUGAUGUGAUAUGACAUUGUUUUGAAUGGAUAUAUGGAAAGUAAACCAUUUUUUCUACUUUUCUUACAAAUGAACAGCCUGCUGAUGGUGAUGUGCCGACGUGCCCCUAGCAGUGAAUGCUUUCCUGUAACAUCUUAUGCUGUAAGCAGAAAAAUGAUGAGAUGAGAAACACAUUUAACAUGUGUAUACACAUAUUCAAGAGAAACCAUUAUCUGUACUGGUCAUUUCAGCUUUCUGGCCUCCUACUGUGUUAUGGCUAUACUUCACGGGUGUCAAACUCUACUUUAUAACUUGGUACUUGCCCACAGAGGAUACAGACAUGGACACUGACUGAUUAGCCAUGCCUCAAACACCAUUAUUCAGCCUCUCCAUGUGCAAACUUUUUCUGACCCACUAAAUUGGACUCAACACCAGCGACAGAUGUGAUGAACUGACAGCUGUUUGGCUCAUUUGAACCUGGGUGGAGUCACCUUUCGAAAACAUAUCAGUAUGGCUUCUUCUGUUUUCUUGUUUGAAAUGACAUUACCCAU